GUGCUCACUUCAGCAGCACAUACACUAAAAUAUGAAUGAUACAGAGAAGAUUAGCAUGGCCCCUGUGCAAGGAUGGCAUGCAAAUUUGUGAAGCAUUCUAUAUUUUA